UAGUAGGUAGGGUAAUGGCCUACCUAGGCUACGAUGGUUAGCGGGUCUGAGAGGAUGAUCCGCCACACUGGCACUGGAACACGGGCCAGACUCCUACGGGAGGCAGCAGUGAGGAAUAUUGCGCAAUGGGGGAAACCCUGACGCAGCGACGCCGCGUGAGUGAGGAAGGCCUUCGGGUCGUAAAGCUCUGUCAAAGGGAAAGAAGUGCAUGGUGGCUAAUACCUGCCAUGUUUGACGGUACCCUUAAAGGAAGCACCGGCUAACUCCGUGCCAGCAGCCGCGGUAAUACGGAGGGUGCAAGCGUUGUUCGGAAUCACUGGGCGUAAAGGGCGCGCAAGCGGUUUGGUAAGUCAUAUGUUAAAGCCCACGGCUUAACCGUGGAAGUGCAUUUUAUACUGCUAGACUUGAGUACCAGAGGGGAAAGUGGAAUUCCCGGUGUAGAGGUGAAAU
rnacentral:rRNA from 1 species